CUUCCUGGUGCAGCAGCGACCAAAGUGUAUGCGAGGAAGUUUCCAGAAAAAUCAGAUACCAUCCCAAAACAAGCUGAGACUGCAACCCAAACACUUGGUGAUGGGCGCACGGAAGCUAUGCAUAAAGCAGCAGUAGAAAAGCGUGUCGACAACUUGAAGGACAUCAAAGGUUUCAACGAUGCACC